rnacentral:rRNA from 1 species
AUUGAACGCUGGCGGCAGGCCUAACACAUGCAAGUCGAGCGGAUGAAGGGAGCUUGCUCCUGGAUUCAGCGGCGGACGGGUGAGUAAUUCCUAGGAAUCUGCCUGGUAGUGGGGGAUAACGUCCGGAAACGGGCGCUAAUACCGCAUACGUCCUGAGGGAGAAAGUGUGGGAUCUUCGGACCUCACGCUAUCAUAUUAGCCUAGGUCGGAUUAGCUAGUUGGUGGGGUAAAGGCCUACCAAGGCGACGAUCCGUAACUGGUCUGAGAGGAUGAUCAGUCACACUGGAACUGAGACACGGUCCAGACUACUACGGGAGGCAGCAGUGGGGAAUAUUGGACAAUGGGCGAAAGCCUGAUCCAGCCAUGCCGCGUGUGUGAAGAAGGUCUUCGGAUUUUACAGCACUUUAAGUUGGGAGGAAGGGCAGUAAGUUAAUACCUUGCUGUUUUGACGUUACCAACAGAAUAAGCACCGGCUAACUUCGUG